GGCUUACCAUGCAAGUCGAGGGGCAGCAUUUCAGUUUGCUUGCAAACUGGAGAUGGCGACCGGCGCACGGGUGAGUAACACGUAUCCAACCUGCCGAUAACUCGGGGAUAGCCUUUCGAAAGAAAGAUUAAUACCCGAUGGNAUAAUCAGACCGCAUGGUCUNAUUAUUAAAGAAUUUCGGUUAUCGAUGGGGAUGCGUUCCAUUAGGCAGUUGGUGAGGUAACGGCUCACCAAACCUUCGAUGGAUAGGGGUUCUGAGAGGAAGGUCCCCCACAUUGGAACUGAGACACGGUCCAAACUCCUACGGGAGGCAGCAGUGAGGAAUAUUGGUCAAUGGGCGCAGGCCUGAACCAGCCAAGUAGCGUGAAGGAUGACUGCCCUAUGGGUUGUAAACUUCUUUUAUAUGGGAAUAAAGUUUUCCACGUGUGGAAUUUUGUAUGUACCAUAUGAAUAAGGAUCGGCUAACUCCGUGCCAGCAGCCGCGGUAAUACGGAGGAUCCGAGCGUUAUCCGGAUUUAUUGGGUUUAAAGGGAGCGUAGGUGGACAGUUAAGUCAGUUGUGAAAGUUUGCGGCUCAACCGUAAAAUUGCAGUUGAUACUGGCUGUCUUGAGUACAGUAGAGGUGGGCGGAAUUCGUGGUGUAGCGGUGAAAUGCUUAGAUAUCACGAAGAACUCCGAUUGCGAAGGCAGCUCACUGGACUGCAACUGACACUGAUGCUCGAAAGUGUGGGUAUCAAACAGGAUUAGAUACCCUGGUAGUCCACACAGUAAACGAUGAAUACUCGCUGUUUGCGAUAUACAGUAAGCGGCCAAGCGAAAGCAUUAAGUAUUCCACCUGGGGAGUACGCCGGCAACGGUGAAACUCAAAGGAAUUGACGGGGGCCCGCACAAGCGGAGGAACAUGUGGUUUAAUUCGAUGAUACGCGAGGAACCUUACCCGGGCUUAAAUUGCAUUUGAAUANUNUGGAAACAGNUUAGCCGCAAGGCAAAUGUGAAGGUGCUGCAUGGUUGUCGUCAGCUCGUGCCGUGAGGUGUCGGCUUAAGUGCCAUAACGAGCGCAACCCUUAUCUUUAGUUACUAACAGGUCAUGCUGAGGACUCUAGAGAGACUGCCGUCGUAAGAUGUGAGGAAGGUGGGGAUGACGUCAAAUCAGCACGGCCCUUACGUCCGGGGCUACACACGUGUUACAAUGGGGGGUACAGAAGGCAGCUACCUGGUGACAGGAUGCUAAUCCCAAAAGCCUCUCUCAGUUCGGAUCGAAGUCUGCAACCCGACUUCGUGAAGCUGGAUUCGCUAGUAAUCGCGCAUCAGCCAUGGCGCGGUGAAUACGUUCCCGGGCCUUGUACACACCGCCCGUCAAGCCAUGAAAGCCGGGGGUACCUGAAGUACGAACCGCAAGGAGCUCCUAG
rnacentral:rRNA from 1 species